GUGUGCCUAAUACAUGCAUGUCGAGCGGAGUUCUUCGGAACUUAGCGGCGAAUGGGUGAGUAACACGUACUUAACAUGCCUUUUAGAUUGGGACAACGAUGAGAAAUUAUCGCUAAUACCGGAUACUUAUAUGGUUCGCAUGAACUAUAUAUAAAAGAAGCCUUUAAAGCUUCACUAAAAGAUUGGGGUGCGGAACAUUAGCUAGUUGGUAAGGUAAUGGCUUACCAAGGCGAUGAUGUUUAGCGGGGUUGAGAGACUGAUCCGCCACACUGGGACUGAGAUACGGCCCAGACUCCUACGGGAGGCAGCAGUAGGGAAUUUUCCACAAUGGACGAAAGUCUGAUGGAGCGACACAGCGUGCAGGAUGAAGGCCUUCGGGUUGUAAACUGCUGUUAUAAGGGAAGAAAAAGCAGUAGAGGAAAUGCUAUUGCCUUGACGGUACCUUGUCAGAAAGCAACGGCUAACUAUGUGCCAGCAGCCGCGGUAAUACAUAGGUUGCAAGCGUUAUCCGGAAUUAUUGGGCGUAAAGCGUCUGUAGGUUGUAUGUUAAGUCUGGCGUGAAAACUUGGGGCUCAACCCCAAAUUGCGUUGGAUACUGGCAUGCUAGAAUUGUGUAGAGGUUAGCGGAAUUCCUAGUGAAGCGGUGAAAUGCGUAGAUAUUAGGAAGAACAUCAACAUGGCGAAGGCAGCUAACUGGGCACAUAUUGACACUGAGAGACGAAAGCGUGGGGAGCAAACAGGAUUAGAUACCGUGGUAGUCCACGCUGUAAACGAUGAUGAUUAGCUGAUAGUACAACUAUCGGCACAGCUAACGCAUUAAAUCAUCCGCCUGAGUAGUAUGCUCGCAAGAGUGAAACUUAAAGGAAUUGACGGGGAUCCGCACAAGCGGUGGAG
rnacentral:rRNA from 1 species